AGAGAUCUGGAGGAAUACCGGUGGCGAAGGCGGCCCCCUGGACAAAGACUGACGCUCAGGUGCGAAAGCGUGGGGAGCAAACAGGAUUAGAUACCCUGGUAGUCCACGCCGUAAACGAUGUCUACUUGGAGGUUGUGCCCUUGAGGCGUGGCUUCCGGAGCUAACGCGUUAAGUAGACCGCCUGGGGAGUACGGCCGCAAGGUUAAAACUCAAAUGAAUUGACGGGGGCCCGCACAAGCGGUGGAGCAUGUGGUUUAAUUCGAUGCAACGCGAAGAACC
rnacentral:rRNA from 7 species